rnacentral:rRNA from 1 species
UGGGGAAUUUUGGACAAUGGGCGAAAGCCUGAUCCAGCAAUGCCGCGUGUGUGAAGAGGGCCUUCGGGUUGUAAAGCACUUUUGUCCGGAAAGAAAUCCUUGGCUCUAAUACAGUCGGGGGAUGACGGUACCGGAAGAAUAAGCACCGGCUAACUACGUGCCAGCAGCCGCGGUAAUACGUAGGGUGCAAGCGUUAAUCGGAAUUACUGGGCGUAAAGCGUGCGCAGGCGGUUUGCUAAGACCGAUGUGAAAUCCCCGGGCUCAACCUGGGAACUGCAUUGGUGACUGGCAGGCUAGAGUAUGGCAGAGGGGGGUAGAAUUCCACGUGUAGCAGUGAAAUGCGUAGAGAUGUGGAGGAAUACCGAUGGCGAAGGCAGCCCCCUGGGCCAAUACUGACGCUCAUGCACGAAAGCGUGGGGAGCAAACAGGAUUAGAUACCCUGGUAGUCCACGCCCUAAACGAUGUCAACUAGUUGUUGGGGAUUCAUUUCCUUAGUAACGUAGCUAACGCGUGAAGUUGACCGCCUGGGGAGUACGGUCGCAAGAUUAAAACUUAAAGGAAUUGACGGGG